AUGCAGCACAUGGGUUAUGGGCUCUGCAUUCUGCUUGGACUAUUAUCCAGUCCGUCACACUGCGUCCUGAUUGAGCAGCCAGGGCAUGUGAUGGCAAAACUAGCAGAGGAGCAGGUAAAGAUCACCUGCCGCCACAACGACAGUAAUUUAGAUGUCAUGUUAUGGUACCAGCAAAAGAGGGACAGCUUGGCUGUGGCUUUGAUCGGUUAUAGCUAUGCCACCGCUACACCAAACCACGAGCCUGAAUUCACCAACCGCUUCAGACACACGAGGACCGGCACGCUAAACGGAGAUCUGACCAUCUCAAACCUCAACGCAUCAGACUCGGCUGUGUAUUACUGUGCAGUCAGAGCACACAGUGCUGCUGCUAGAUCACCCUCUUCACUUAAAACCCACAACACAGGAAACGCACCUGUAACGUCUGUGAACUUCAGUUUAAAGUGAAAGAAUGAGGUUUAAAACUUGAAAAUGAAACAUUUUGUCUGGUAAAAAAUGAUGUAAUAUUAUUUUAUG